AAUAGGUUUUAUUUUUGCUUAUGUUUCGUUUGAGUGGUUAAGAUUUCCGGAGAACCUACUGGAAUAACUCCCACUGAAUUCAGUGUGUACAAGAUCAGACUUGCUGGGCUGUUUGUUCCAGGGCAUAGAAUACUUCUGCUUCUUCUGAGAUUUGCUGGGACUGUUCGGAUUCUGCAGGAGUUUGAAUGAAGAAAAAAAAAAAAAAAUAGCACAGAUGAAUUGCUGCAUUAAUUUAAAAGAAAAAAGUCAUGACGUCAAUAUGCAACCAAAAAUGUAUUCUUACAGGAAUCUAGUGCUUGAUUGCUCUGCCCAUACCUCAGCUGAUGACAUCAAUGGCUCUGCAGACAUAUCCUGUCUCUUCUUUCAUCUCCUUGGUGCUAGCCUGGUUGCUUCUACAAAGUACAAACUUCUUAAGACUGCUUUACAGAGAAGGCAGGAAACAAGAGAGUAAUAACACUGGAAAUGGCCUAUUGUUUCUUCUCUGGCAAACUCCCUCGGGACAGCAGUUCUGGGAAUCAGCUCUCUAUGUGAAGUUGUUGUGAGAUGUAUUGGUGGCAUAUGCCAUGGUGAAUUCGCCAGGCACAGAGGGAGUCCGUUGGGGAAAAGAGCAAAGAAGCACACUAAGCUGUCUCCAGAAGCAAACCUUCAGAAAUGCUCUGCAAAGGUGCCUGAAACUUAAAAUUUUUCCUUUGGUAAAGAUGAAAGGCAGGACUUCUGACCCUUACUUCUGACUAGGAUGGAAACUUGGGCUUCUGUACUUCAUAUAAGUACAUUUUAUGAUAGACAAGAGAAAAUGAAGAUCCUUGAGGGAAGGCUAAGAAAAUUCCUCUUCCUUCCAAAACUGUCUUGCAGGAUCAGUGGAAAAUUUCUGUUCAGAACAAGAUCCUUGGCAAGGAUACACCACCGCCAGGUGAGAAGCAGAUGCCCUCAAGGUCAGGCAAAGCAUUUCGACAUUCUUCUUCCUGUUUGCUCCAGGUAUAUCUCAACAAAUAAAACUGAGAACCAUCUUGCCUGUCAUCCUGAACUGCACAUGCUGGUGAUUUCCAAGCAAGAAGAUGCAUACAUAACAGACUCCACAUUCCCAUGGAUCAGAUACCAUUAUGCUGCCUCUUGCAAUAUCUGCAGUCUGCUGCCACAUCUCAGAGCUGCCAGGAUCUGACCUGGACCUGCUGCUCUCUCCAGAUUAUCUGCUUGUCUCUAACUCCACCAGGCAUGGAGUGCUGUUUGGAAACAAUCGGAAAGUAAGAAUAAGAACGAUCUUUCUACUCCGGAAGCUGUGUGG